rnacentral:lncRNA from 1 species
UGCUCCACAUGUGGCACCAGUCGUGUUGCUUAUGUGAUUACAAAUCCGGUAAAUAGUCUAAUUCGGUAGGGCACAUUCAUGAAAGGGAAGGGGAUUGUAGUUACGACGUAAGGAACAUAUCCGAUAUCAUUUGUGAAACGGUUAUUCCAUAACGGUCAACCAACUCGUGAUGGCGUCCGUAAAAUUUACGAAGGGAUGAUUUCAACUUCACCAUUUGGAACUCUUGGUUUAAUAGCUUCCUUGUGAACAGCAACCCUCUAUCAAGAAAAUCAUGAUAGGAAAUACAAG